GUGGGGAAUAUUGGACAAUGGGCGCAAGCCUGAUCCAGCCAUGCCGCGUGUGUGAAGAAGGCCUUUUGGUUGUAAAGCACUUUAAGCGAGGAGGAGGCUCCUUUAGUUAAUACCUAAAGAGAGUGGACGUUACUCGCAGAAUAAGCACCGGCUAACUCUGUGCCAGCAGCCGCGGUAAUACAGAGGGUGCGAGCGUUAAUCGGAUUUACUGGGCGUAAAGCGUGCGUAGGCGGCUUUUUAAGUCGGAUGUGAAAUCCCUGAGCUUAACUUAGGAAUUGCAUUCGAUACUGGAAAGCUAGAGUAUGGGAGAGGAUGGUAGAAUUCCAGGUGUAGCGGUGAAAUGCGUAGAGAUCUGGAGGAAUACCGAUGGCGAAGGCAGCCAUCUGGCCUAAUACUGACACUGAGGUGCGAAAGCAUGGGGAGCAAACAGGAUUAGAAACCCGUGUAGUCC
rnacentral:rRNA from 1 species